GCUACUUAGUUUUAGCACUGUGCCACCUAGUAGUCAGGAGAUAUGAAAAAUUGUUAUUUUUGCUUAUAACUUCUGAAUGGUUUGGCCAAAAAUCACAAAACUCUUUAGAUUCAGUGCAACAUGCCGAGUCAAACCAUACCCAAUUUUCCCAUGUCAGCCAUUUUGUAUUUUGUCAUAAAAUGCUAUAUUUUACAAACGCAUUGGCGUAUAAUUACAAAACUCGGUAUGUGUCUUCGGCAUUAUGCCCUGAAAGUACUCAAAAAGUUUGAGGAUAUCACCCCCUUGUGUUAUUAAGAAAUUUACAAAAAUGCCAAUAACUUUUGAAUAAAUUGGCCUAUUGUAAUGAAUGAAUUGUAAUGAACUGUUCUCAAUAUAUUCCUUGGGUCAUGCCGAAAAUAUCAAUACCAAUUAUGCCAUAAUUGGCUGAACUUUCUGUCUGCCAUGUUGAUUUAUGUUGAAAACCAUUACAAAACCUCCUAGACCAUUAUUCUGAUUUUCACCAAAUUUGACUCGGAUCAUCUUCAGAACAUGCUGGCAAAAAGUUAUGGAUUUCGUGUCAAUAUACAAAAUGGUUAUUGUUUUAACGCAUCAAAGAAUUUGCUGGAAAGAUGCCAAACUGCAUCUGAGGCUGUAUCUCUGCAAAGCUUUGACAUAUUGAUGUGCCAUUGUCACCUCACACUGACCACGUCACAUCAAUUUGGUAACAGCGCCACCUAUUGCUUAAAAGUGACAAAACAUUAAUUAACCAUUAAUAUUGAAAUUUUCAAAAAACGCUUAUAACUUUUCAUUGCAAUGGCCGAGAACAUAGAUACCAAUUUUGCCAUAGUAGGCUGAACUUCCUGUCCGCCAUUUUGAUUUAUGUUGAAAACCUACUUUUUCGAACUCCUCCUCAACCGUUGGUACGAUUUUCACCAAUAUCAAGUCAGAUCAUCUUCAGGCUUUGCUGGCAAAAAGUUAUGGAUUUCAUGUCGAUAGAUGAAAUAUUUUUGUAUAGCUUAUUGGUCAAAAGUGAUAAGCCAAUAAAUCAUAUUGCUAGUGGUUAUAUUUACGAUUUUUCAGGCAUUUUGACUAAAAUAUUCUGAAAACGGUUUAAUUACUCAUUGCUACAGUUGGUCUGAUGCUCCAUUCCAUGCUUAGCUCCUCAUUUUGCCCCUGUUGUGCUUGGCCCCUUAAUUGCUGUUUGCAGCUAUAUUUUUUAAUUAUUUCUGAUAGUUACAUUUCUGUUAAUUGAAAUGAAGAAACUAUGUAAAAGUAGUAAAAAAAAAAAAAAAAAAAAAGUAAAAUUUAGUCCAGCCACAAUUUACAAUAUAUAUUGUUUUAACCGUAGCCCACUCCUACAUGCUAAAAAAAAAAUAAUAAUAAUAAAAUUUAAAAAAAAAAAUCAAGCUAGCUAACCUCAGCUGCCUUUUCACACCUGAACCAGAGCUGAUUUUGUCAAAUACACAAGGUACCACUUUGGAAAAGUUACAGCUUGAAUAAAUAUAUACUAUGCAACAAACAUCAGCCUUUUUUUGUUCAAUGUCAGGUUAUAAACUAACAUGAAAUGUACAUAUCACAGCUCAAGUACUUGGCACCAUUACUUCAAUUUUAAAAUUUGAGUCAAAAUAACAUCCUACUUUAAAUUGAUCUUCACUCAUUUAAAAAAAAAAAAAGAAAAAAAAAAAAGUAUUUUAACUGUACUGUAAAAAAUUUCCGGGAUUUUGCAGCAUGCAACUGUAAUAUUUCACAGUAAAUUACAUUAUUAUCACUUUACAGGCUUCUACUGCGAUUGUCACACUAUAAUACCGUAUUCGGGAAUUUUACUGUGAAAAUAAUGUAGGCGGAGCUGUUACAGGAAACUACUGUGAAUUCCUUCCCGCCUCCACGUGCUGUCGUCUGACUGAGCUCUCUCGUCUCCUCCAUUUUCUCAUCCGAGUCCAACGGAUUCAGCGGUUCUCUCCACAGAGGUGACCACUGGGGAAUAAAGUUGUAUGUAAGCCUUGUGCUACAGCCACUGAUGGUUAAGAGACUGUGAUGCUACCAAGAACCCCUAGCUUGCUUGAUUGUUCAAGAAUCGGCGAAUCUGCUGCGGUCGUCCCAUCACAUCUGGAGCGAAGGACCUGAACCAGGAAGUUGGUCACCAGAUAACACGGAAACCAGUUAAACCGUAACACCGCCUGGAAUGUCUGUGUUUGUUAUGGUGACACAAUGAAGACGAGGGCAUGGAUGCUGACAUUGGACGGUCAAUUUGAAGUAUGCUGAAGAUGCUUCUUGCACUCUGGAAUUUACCAAAGGUAAUUUCUACAUAACAUUGUACUUGAGGGUUUGUUUUUUACUUGGUGGGUUAAACAAGGAAUGUUUGGAUGUGUUGUGAUUUUGCGAGCCGUGCAGGACCACAGCAGCCAAGUGGUGACGACCCCCUUCUCCCCCUCAAACAAGUGGUGUGGAGACCAAACAAGCUGUGCUGGAGACCAGAGAGGAAGCUGUUUUAAAGUGAUGUACACAGUUGCUCUGACUGGAUAAAUCACACACCUCUACUUUGUUGCAGGACUGUUCUUGACUGUGCGUUUGUGAUGGAAAUGUUUUUAAACUGCUGUUAUUUAAAUGGUUAGGGUUAAUAUCAUCUUGUUCUGUAACUUUUUGGUCUGUACUGCAACAGCAGUGACCCACUGAAUGUGGUGACUGGGAACUGACACCUUUUUCGAAUGGAUGUCAAUCUAGUGUGUAAGCAAUGUUCCGAUGUAGUCAUGCAGUAAGAUGGUCACUGAAUAUGUUCUAUCGUGUGUCCUGGUUCGAUGGAGAGAAGCAUGACCGUCUGAACCUCUUUGCUGGAAAGUUUAGACAGAAUUUAUUAAGCUGCAAAAUAAAUGUGUACAAUUAAUUGUUUGUGUGUUUAUUUGAAUUGAACAUAUCUUUCCAGUAUUAUAGGU